rnacentral:rRNA from 1 species
AACGAACGCUGGCGGCAUGCCUAACACAUGCAAGUCGAACGAGACCUUCGGGUCUAGUGGCGCACGGGUGCGUAACGCGUGGGAACCUGCCCUUAGGUUCGGAAUAACUCCCCGAAAGGGGUGCUAAUACCGGAUAAUGUCUUCGGACCAAAGAUUUAUCGCCUUUGGAUGGGCCCGCGUUGGAUUAGCUAGUUGGUAGGGUAAAAGCCUACCAAGGCGACGAUCCAUAGCUGGUCUGAGAGGAUGAUCAGCCACACUGGGACUGAGUCACGGCCCAGACUCCUACGGGAGGCAGCAGUGGGGAAUAUUGGACAAUGGGCGAAAGCCUGAUCCAGCAAUGCCGCGUGAGUGAUGAAGGCCUUAGGGUUGUAAAGCUCUUUUACCCGGGAUGAUAAUGAUAGUACCGGGAGAAUAAGCUCCGGCUAACUCCGUG